CUUGGUUACCAUCAAAUAAAAAUAUUAGCUAUGUGCAACUUUAUCUAUUACAUUUCAGAAAAUCGGCGCCAAAAGCUUCACGAGCUCACGUUUAAAAAACUUAGGAUGGGGAAUUGGCAGCCAUGCUUUCCACUCCCAUCACAAGCCAUCAUUGCAAUGAGAAUUUGUUUUUCCUUUAAGAAUGCCUGAUGAAAGAGGUGAGCGUUCGAAAGAGGAAUUACUUUGUCUCUUAAAGCUGCAAGACGGGCCGUUGCAAUCUGUCAACUGUCAAGUGGUGAUGAUGACUGAGCCCCUCGCUCAUCCACUCAAAGACCAUCCUCCAUCUGGGUCCAAAACCAUAAAAUCAGCUUACUCACCUUAGACAGUGAGAAACAGAAAGUUACAGCAAGGAUCCGCAGGAAGAGGCGACGCAGAGGAAGGGCGCGGCUGUCCACUCGAAUGACCUUCCAGCGCAAAAGUACACACUAACAGCUGCCCAUACAGGACUGGGAACGGUCAAGAGAAGGCCACAGAUCAAGAGACUUGUCAGAAUUGGUCAAUGAAAGCUAGACAGUUGGAUAACCAGUUAUUGUUUCUUUGACAUGCUGUUAUUUAAAGUUCUCAUUCUUUCCAGGAGAAUCAUGAUAUCACUAAUUAUAUGUUUGAAAAUACAUAUUUGACAUUAAGAAAUACGAGUGUCGGAGUGUAGGUAUGUUAUGGACUUUAAAUUAAGCGUGACAGAAAUGAGAGACAAAUGCAUUUUCUUCUAAUGUGUGCCUUCCUUUUCAACAAGGCAGAUAGGUGAAUAGGAUAAGGUAUCUGUGGUUAACCCUCCCAGUCUAGCACAGGGGAGCUGUAAGGGAUGAUAAGAUUGUCUUAGAUGGAGAGGAUCACUCUGCCUGCACAGAGUAGAUCCAGUGUACUGAUCCUUUCAGUAUAGUUCUACUGCUGUCGUUAAGUUAUGGUUGAAGUAUCUUGUCAAGACGCACUUCUUUUGUUUGGCCUAUGAAUCUGAAUAAGUGAUGCAGCAUUACAACAGUCUUGUCUUGUGUAGAGAGAUUCAUGUUUAAAGUAUGUCUUUUUGUUGGUGCUCAUAGACUCAUUUUGUUCUUUGGGUACAGCAUUUUGGUUAACACUGGUAUUUGCAACUGUGCUUUUUUGUAUAAAGGUGAUUGAUUUUACCAACAGAAUAUAUUUUCCAACAGCCCAGCACCUUAAGUACAGACUUUCA